AUUUAAUUAACAUGACAGACCUCUGCAGGAAUAUUGGACUGUGGUCCCUUUCAGAGUUUAUUCACGGACUCAAUAUACUGUUACACAACAUGCGUUCUCUUUCUCAAAUAUUU